CGGGGAUUGGCUCAGUUGGUAGAGCGCCGCGUUUGGGACGCGGAGGUCGCCAGUUCGAAUCUGGCAUCCCCGACUA
rnacentral:tRNA from 1 species